rnacentral:rRNA from 1 species
GGGUUGUGAGGUUAAGCGACUAAGCGUACACGGUGGAUGCCCUGGCAGUCAGAGGCGAUGAAGGACGUGCUAAUCUGCGAUAAGCGUCGGUAAGGUGAUAUGAACCGUUAUAACCGGCGAUUUCCGAAUGGGGAAACCCAGUGUGUUUCGACACACUAUCAUUAACUGAAUCCAUAGGUUAAUGAGGCGAACCGGGGGAACUGAAACAUCUAAGUACCCCGAGGAAAAGAAAUCAACCGAGAUUCCCCCAGUAGCGGCGAGCGAACGGGGAGCAGCCCAGAGCCUGAAUCAGUGUGUGUGUUAGUGGAAGCGUCUGGAAAGGCGCGCGAUACAGGGUGACAGCCCCGUACACAAAAAUGCACAUACUGUGAGCUCGAUGAGUAGGGCGGGACACGUGGUAUCCUGUCUGAAUAUGGGGGGACCAUCCUCCAAGGCUAAAUACUCCUGACUGACCGAUAGUGAACCAGUACCGUGAGGGAAA